rnacentral:tRNA from 1 species
GUGGCUCAGUGGUAGAGUGCUUGCCUUGCAUGCAUGAAGCCCUGGGUUCGAUUCCUUAGC